rnacentral:rRNA from 1 species
CGCACGGGUGCGUAACGCGUAUGCAAUCUACCUUGUACAGGGGAAUAGCCCAGGGAAACUUGGAUUAAUGCCCCAUAGUAUUAUGAAAUAGCAUUAUUUUAUAAUUAAAGAUUUAUCGGUACGAGAUGAGCAUGCGUCCCAUUAGCUAGUUGGUAUGGUAACGGCAUACCAAGGCUACGAUGGGUAGGGGCCCUGAGAGGGGGAUCCCCCACACUGGCACUGAGACACGGACCAG